rnacentral:tRNA from 1 species
GCCCGGAUGCUGGAGAAGGCACGAGUUUGCCGGUGGCGCAGAUUGAUGAUCCGGUUGUUAUCCGUUUCAGUUCCGCUUCUGUGUCCGGGCU